UACGAAGGGGGCGAGCGUUGUUCGGAAUUACUGGGCGUAAAGGGCGCGUAGGCGGCCGAUCAAGUCAGAUGUGAAAAGUCCUGGGCUUAACCUGGGGGACUGCAUUUGAUACUGAUUGGCUUGAAUUCGGGAGAGGAUAGCGGAAUUCCCAGUGUAGAGGUGAAAAUUCGUAGAUAUUGGGAAGAAACACCGGUGGCGAAGGCGGCUAUCUGGACCGACAUUGACGCUGAUGCGCGAAAAGCGUGGGGGAGCAAACAGG
rnacentral:rRNA from 1 species